ACAGUCUUAACAACCUCUUCACCAGCCUUCUAGCCCAAAAUCAGUUGCCACUUCCUCCCUGAAACCUUCCCAGUUCUCCAAAUUGGAAGAAAUCCUGAAUUCACACAGCAUAUGAUUGAGUUCAGAUUGAUUUGUAAGAUUUGGGGGCAGGGGGUGGGUAGUCAGGGAUUGAACCCAGAGGCACUGAGCCUUAUCUCCAACCUUUUAUAUUUUUUGAGAUAGGGUCUCACUAAGUUGCAUAGGACCUCAGCCUCUUAAGCUCCUGAGAUUACAGGUGUGUGCCACCAUGCCUGACCAGGUUGUAAGAUUCUUGAGCACAAGAGAAGGUGCCCAAACAAUGUACUGUCCUCCCAUAGAUAAAUGCUAAAUGAACAGAACACAUCUCUCUGCAGGGAGGUUGCCUGGCAGGUCAGUGAGACAGUCUGUAACCUGCUAUUAGAGAAGUGCAUGAGAAGCUGGGCGUGGUUGCACACCCAGUAACCCCAAUGACUGACUGAAGCAGGAGGAUCUCUAGUUGAGGCCAGCCUAGGCAAUUUAGCAAGACCCUGCUUCAAAAAGUAAAGAAGGAACCAGGCACAGUGGCACACGCCUGUAAUCCCAGUGGUUCAGAAGGCUGAGACAGAAGGAUCACAAGUUCAAAGCCAGUCUCAGCAACUCAGAAAUGCACUAAGCAACUCAGUAAGACCCUGUCUCUAAAUAAAAAUACAAAAUAGAGGGCUGGGGAUGUGGCUUAAGCGGUAGCGCGCUCGCCUGGCAUGUGUGUGGCCCAGGUUGGAUCCUCAGCACCACAUAC
rnacentral:lncRNA from 1 species